rnacentral:rRNA from 1 species
GACGGAGGAUGCAAGCGUUAUCCGGAAUGAUUGGGCGUAAAGCGUCCGCAGGUGGCAGUUCAAGUCUGCUGUCAAAGACCGGGGCUUAACUUCGGAAAGGCAGUGGAAACUGAACAGCUAGAGUAUGGUAGGGGCAGAGGGAAUUCCUGGUGUAGCGGUGAAAUGCGUAGAGAUCAGGAAGAACAUCGGUGGCGAAGGCGCUCUACUGGACCACAACUGACACUCAGGGACGAAAGCUAGGGGAGCGAAUGGG